rnacentral:rRNA from 1 species
GAUGAACACUAGCGGCAGGCUUAACACAUGCAAGUCGAGGGGUAUAGUAGCAAUACUAGAGACCGGCGCACGGGUGCGUAACGCGUAUGCAAUCUACCUUUCACAGAGGGAUAGCCCAGAGAAAUUUGGAUUAAUCCCUCAUAGUAUAGUAUCUUGGCAUCAAGGAACUAUUAAAGUCACAACGGUGAAAGAUGAGCAUGCGUCCCAUUAGUUAGUUGGUAAGGUAACGGCUUACCAAGACUACGAUGGGUAGGGGUCCUGAGAGGGAGAUCCCCCACACUGGUACUGAGACACGGACCAGACCCCUACGGGAGGCAGCAGUGAGGAAUAUUGGACAAUGGGCGCAAGCCUGAUCCAGCCAUGCCGCGUGCAGGAUGACGGUCCUAUGGAUUGUAAACUGCUUUUGUACAGGAAGAAACACCCCGACGUGUCGGGACUUGACGGUGCUGUAAGAAUAAGGAUCGGCUAACUCCGUGCCAGCCGCCGCAGUAA